rnacentral:tRNA from 1 species
CAAGAAAUAGUUAAAUAAUAUAAUAUUAAUUUUGGAGAUUAAAGGUAUAAUUAAAAAGUUAUUUUCUUGA